rnacentral:rRNA from 1 species
UACGAAGGGGGCUAGCGUUGCUCGGAAUCACUGGGCGUAAAGGGUGCGUAGGCGGGUCUUUAAGUCAGGGGGGAAAUCCUGGAGCUCAACUCCAGAACUGCCUUUGAUACUGAAGAUCUUGAGUUCGGGAGAGGUGAGUGGAACUGCGAGUGUAGAGGUGAAAUUCGUAGAUAUCUGCAGGAACACCCGUGGCGAAAGCGGCGAGCUGGACCACUACUGACGCUGAAGAACGAAAGCUAGGGGAGCAAACAGG